rnacentral:rRNA from 1 species
GAGUGAACGCUGGCGGUAGGCCUAACCCAUGCAAGUCGAACGGCAGCACAGUAAGAGCUUGCUCUUACGGGUGGCGAGUGGCGGACGGGUGAGGAAUACAUCGGAAUCUACUUUUUCGUGGGGGAUAACGUAGGGAAACUUACGCUAAUACCGCAUACGACCUACGGGUGAAAGCAGGGGAUCUUCGGACCUUGCGCGAUUGAAUGAGCCGAUGUCGGAUUAGCUAGUUGGCGGGGUAAAGGCCCACCAAGGCGACGAUCCGUAGCUGGUCUGAGAGGAUGAUCAGCCACACUGGAACUGAGACACGGUCCAGACUCCUACGGGAGGCAGCAGUGGGGAAUAUUGGACAAUGGGCGCAAGCCUGAUCCAGCCAUACCGCGUGGGUGAAGAAGGCCUUCGGGUUGUAAAGCCCUUUUGUUGGGAAAGAAAAGCAGCAGGUUAAUACCCCGCUGUUCUGACGGUACCCAAAGAAUAGGCACCGGCUAACUUCGUG